AUGCCAGAGCACAACAAGUUUUCUCGAGCAGUGAAUAUCUGGUUUCACAGUCGUAAAACACAUCUUCUUCAAAAAUCUCAAACAUCAGCAAAAUUGUUUUUCAAAUCCAACAAAUUCGUCCUUCAAGAACGCCUCCACGAGCUUUCUUCUCAGAAUCAGGUUCAAGAGAAAGCUCUACCAACAUCUUCCAUCUUCCAUUGA